rnacentral:rRNA from 1 species
UUGAAGAGUUUGAUCAUGGCUCAGAUUGAACGCUGGCGGCAGGCCUAACACAUGCAAGUCGAGCGGUAGCACAGAGAGCUUGCUCUCGGGUGACGAGCGGCGGACGGGUGAGUAAUGUCUGGGAAACUGCCUGAUGGAGGGGGAUAACUACUGGAAACGGUAGCUAAUACCGCAUAAUGUCGCAAGACCAAAGUGGGGGACCUUCGGGCCUCAUGCCAUCAGAUGUGCCCAGAUGGGAUUAGCUAGUAGGUGGGGUAAUGGCUCACCUAGGCGACGAUCCCUAGCUGGUCUGAGAGGAUGACCAGCCACACUGGAACUGAGACACGGUCCAGACUCCUACGGGAGGCAGCAGUGGGGAAUAUUGCACAAUGGGCGCAAGCCUGAUGCAGCCAUGCCGCGUGUGAAGAAGGCCUUCGGGUUGUAAAGCACUUUCAGCGGGGAGGAAGGCGUUAAGGUUAAUAACCUUGGCGAUUGACGUUACCCGCAGAAGAAGCACCGGCUAACUCCGUGCCAGCAGCCGCGGUAAUACGGAGGGUGCAAGCGUUAAUCGGAAUUACUGGGCGUAAAGCGCACGCAGGCGGUCUGUCAAGUCGGAUGUGAAAUCCCCGGGCUCAACCUGGGAACUGCAUUCGAAACUGGCAGGCUAGAGUCUUGUAGAGGGGGGUAGAAUUCCAGGUGUAGCGGUGAAAUGCGUAGAGAUCUGGAGGAAUACCGGUGGCGAAGGCGGCCCCCUGGACAAAGACUGACGCUCAGGUGCGAAAGCGUGGGGAGCAAACAGGAUUAGAUACCCUGGUAGUCCACGCCGUAAACGAUGUCGAUUUGGAGGUUGUGCCCUUGAGGCGUGGCUUCCGGAGCUAACGCGUUAAAUCGACCGCCUGGGGAGUACGGCCGCAAGGUUAAAACUCAAAUGAAUUGACGGGGGCCCGCACAAGCGGUGGAGCAUGUGGUUUAAUUCGAUGCAACGCGAAGAACCUUACCUGGUCUUGACAUCCACAGAACUUUCCAGAGAUGGAUUGGUGCCUUCGGGAACUGUGAGACAGGUGCUGCAUGGCUGUCGUCAGCUCGUGUUGUGAAAUGUUGGGUUAAGUCCCGCAACGAGCGCAACCCUUAUCCUUUGUUGCCAGCGGUUCGGCCGGGAACUCAAAGGAGACUGCCAGUGAUAAACUGGAGGAAGGUGGGGAUGACGUCAAGUCAUCAUGGCCCUUACGACCAGGGCUACACACGUGCUACAAUGGCAUAUACAAAGAGAAGCGACCUCGCGAGAGCAAGCGGACCUCAUAAAGUAUGUCGUAGUCCGGAUUGGAGUCUGCAACUCGACUCCAUGAAGUCGGAAUCGCUAGUAAUCGUAGAUCAGAAUGCUACGGUGAAUACGUUCCCGGGCCUUGUACACACCGCCCGUCACACCAUGGGAGUGGGUUGCAAAAGAAGUAGGUAGCUUAACCUUCGGGAGGGCGCUUACCACUUUGUGAUUCAUGACUGGGGUGAAGUCGUAACAAGGUAACCGUAGGGGAACCUGCGGUUGGAUCACCUCCUU